rnacentral:rRNA from 1 species
AACGCUAGCGACAGGCCUAACACAUGCAAGUCGAGGGGCAGCACAAGGAGCAAUCUGAGGUGGCGACCGGCGCACGGGUGAGUAACACGUAUGCAACCUGCCUGUAAGCGGGGAAUAACCCGUUGAAAGACGGACUAAUACCGCAUAAUACUAAAUUACUGCAUGGUAAUUUAUUUAAACAUUUAUGGCUUACAGAUGGGCAUGCGCAUGAUUAGCUAGUUGGAGAGGUAACGGCUCCCCAAGGCAACGAUCAUUAGGGGUUCUGAGAGGAAGGUCCCCCACACUGGUACUGAGACACGGACCAGACUCCUACGGGAGGCAGCAGUGAGGAAUAUUGGUCAAUGGACGAGAGUCUGAACCAGCCAAGUCGCGUGCAGGAAGAAUGUCCUUAAUGGAUUGUAAACUGCUUUUGCAGGGGAAUAAAGUGCAUCACGUGUGAUGUUUUGUAUGUACUCUGCGAAUAAGGAUCGGCUAACUCCGUGCCAGCCGCUGC